GGGUCCUCCCUUUUCUCAUCUUUGAGGCCAACAGGCUGGGCCUGCCCUGAUGAGAGGUGAAGAGGCCCUCCUGGAGCUGAAAGGGGCAAUUGGCUGUGCCCUGCUUUUGUCAAGGAAGUUGGGAGACAACAAAACCCAAGCACCUUGGCCAGGGCGGUGGCUCACAUCUGUAAUCCCAGAACUUUGGGAGGCCAAGGCAGGUGGAUCACCUGAGGUCAGGAGUUCGAGACCAGCCUGGCCAACGCGGUGAAAUCCCAUCUCUACUGAAAAUAGAAAAAUUAGCCAGGCAUGGUGGUGUGUGCCUGUAAUCCCAGCUGUAUCCUGGGAGGCUGAGGCAGGAGAAUCACUUGAACCUGGGACAUAAUCUGAGUUAUCUCAGAUGCUAGUUUCUCUGGUGAAGGUUGCAGUGAGCCGAGACUGCACCACUGCACUCCAGCCUGUGCGACAGAGCGAGACUCUGUCUCAAAAAAAAAAAAAAAAAAAAAAAUUAGCCAGGCAUGGUGGCUGGUGGCACAUGCCUGUAAUCCCAGCUACUUAGGAGGCUGAGGCACAAAAAUUGCUUGAACCCAAGAGGCGGAGGUUGCAGUGAGCUGAGAUCGCACCACUGCACUCCAGCCUGGGUGGCAGAGCCAGACUCCAUCUCAAAAACGAAAAACCAAACAACCCACAAACACCUGCAGAAAGAGGUUCCCAGACUUCAGUUGCUUUGAUUCAUGCAUCUGGAUGAAGCAAAAAGAAAAUGUGACAACUUGUCACUGCAAGAACUUAAAAACACCCUCCAGUGGGGCUGCACCAGGCCACCUCACUUUAGAGUGUGCACAGCUUCCCAUCAGAGAUAAAAGCUGUGACUCCAGGCUCCUAAAUACCUUUUUGAUAAGGGCUUUCCUUUUGGCCACCAGCAGAUGAUCGGGUGAUGGUGUUACUACUGCCAACUCCUACAGAGCCCAAGCCCAUGAGAUCUUUUAGACGUUCAUUCUUUGCAGCUUAAAAAAAUAAUAAUUUAAAAAAUU
rnacentral:lncRNA from 10 species